AUUGAACGCUGGCGGCAGGCCUAACACAUGCAAGUCGAACGAGUGGCGGACGGGCGAGUAAUGUCUGGGAAACUGCACGAUGGAGGGGGAUAACUACUGGAAACGGUAGCUAAUCCCGCAUACCAUCGGAUGUGCCCAGAUGGGAUUAGCUAGUAGGUGGGGUAAAGGCUCACCUAGGCGACGACCCCUAGCUGGUCUUAGAGGAUGAACAGCCACCCUGGAACUGGUACCCGGUCCAGACUCCUACGGGAUGCAGCAGUGGGUAAUAGUGCACAAUGGGCGCAAGCCUGAUGCAGCCAUGCCGCGUGUGUUAAGAAGGCCUUCGGGUUGUAAAGCACUUUCAGCGGGGAGGCGUUACCCGCAGAAGAAGCACCGGCUAACUCCGUGCCAGCAGCCGCGGUAAUAC
rnacentral:rRNA from 1 species